rnacentral:rRNA from 1 species
AGUUCGGAUUGGAGUCUGCAACCCGACUCCAUGAAGCUGGAUUCGCUAGUAAUCGCGCAUCAGCCACGGCGCGGUGAAUACGUUCCCGGGCCUUGUACACACCGCCCGUCAAGCCAUGGAAGCCGGGGGGUGCCUGAAGUGCGCUGCCGCAAGGAGCGCCCUAGGGUAAAACCGGUGACUGGGGCUAAGUCGUAACAAGGUAUC